rnacentral:tRNA from 1 species
GGAACUGUAGCUCAGUUGGUUAGAGCACACCGCUGAUAACGGUGAGGUCGGUGGUUCAAGUCCACUCAGUUCCA